rnacentral:rRNA from 1 species
UACGUAGGGGGCAAGCGUUGUCCGGAAUCAUUGGGCGUAAAGCACGUGUAGGCGGCUCGGUAAGUCUGCUGUGAAAGUCCAGGGCUCAACCCUGGGAUGCCGGUGGAUACUGUCGAGCUCGAGUCCGGAAGAGGCGAGUGGAAUUCCUGGUGUAGCGGUGAAAUGCGCAGAUAUCAGGAGGAACACCAAUGGCGAAGGCAGCUCGCUGGGACGUGACUGACGCUGAGACGCGAAAGCGUGGGGAGCAAACAGG